rfam:Glossina palpalis gambiensis isolate 146720 unplaced genomic scaffold Scaffold1090, whole genome shotgun sequence.
GGUGAGAUGUCCGAGUGGUUUAAGGAGCAGGCCUGGAAAGCAUGUAUACGAUUAUACGUAUCGAGGGUUCGAAUCCCUCUCUCACCG